CUCUUAUGCACCCAGCGUUCACCAACAGAGAAAUCUAGUCAUUGACAGUUGGAGCAAGAUGUCAGGACUGAUCAGAUUUCCCACCAUGCAUCUGGACAACCCUGUCAUCACAAUCAGUUUGGUUCCAGAUUGUUGCUUGGAGUUUGAAUAAUAAUAAAGUGGUUGUUAAAAAUAAACAACUUUUUAAAUUCAGAUUUUGAGGACAAAUUUGAUCUUUUUAAACAUUUGAAUAGAUAAACUCUCAUAACGCAUGAUUAAACCGCUGAAAGAAAUUCUUUGGAAACAGAAGAAAAUUUACAGCUGAAGCAGAAGCUAAAGAUCCCAUCAAAGCAUCAAAGAGACACCAUGAAAAUUUCCUGUUGUCCAAAAGUACCCAUUUAUAACAAGUAGGUACUUCAGGUGUCAGAGAGGGGGACAUAUGGUUCCCAUGCUGAUCAAAACAAAGUUUCAACAUGAGAAGAAAAAAAAAAAAGCAGGCAGCCAAAACGUCCCAUCACUACUUGACCACCCAGCUUCAUCAUUUGCAAACUUUGUUUUCACAUAUUGGGCUCUGAGUUGAGUCUGCUGCUGUCGUCAUGCUGCUGCUGCAGAGACUGGAGCUUCCCCCGAGCCUCGGACAGGCCCCGCCUCGCUGACUG